CAUUAGAUGGCCGAAAGCAAGCAAUGGUCUUUUAAACCAUACUAUAGUAAAAUAGCCAAUACUUCUAAUGA
rnacentral:tRNA from 1 species